UGCCAUCUCCGAUGGCAAUAUGAAGUGCCGUUCUUGGCUCCCAUCGCGGAGCACACGGCGUCGCCUUCUACAAAUAUUUGCCUGCCGGUUUGGUUGGACGAGGAGGGAGGGGGAGAAGACGGUGAAGGCGUCAUCGGCGGAGAUGUGCCCGACGACGAAAAAACCUGCUGACACAGCCGGCCAAAGAGGAGGAGAGCCGCCGACGCCAGAGCCCGCGAGGGCCGCGGAGGACCUCUGCUACGACUGGCGGCAGGAGGCGAUCGAGGGCGGGUCCCUUCGACACGUUGACCUCGACACGGGCACCAACGGCUGGGCCUCCCCGCCCGGGGAUCUCUUCCACCUCCGCGGCCUCAACUACUUCGCCCGCCGCCAGAAGUGCCCCUCCGGCGAGUGGCUCCUCAAGCCCGCCGGCGUCGACUGGCUCCGAUCCGCCUCCCGCCUGGACGACGUCCUCGGCCGCCCUGACAACCGCGUCGCCGCGGCUCUCCGCCGCGCCCAAGCCCUCGGCGGUGCCCGCAAGGCCUUCCUCUUCGCCGUCAACCUCCAGGUCCCCGGCCGCGAGUGCCACUCCGCCGUCUUCUACUUCGCCGCUGAGGAGCCCAUCCCACCGGGCUCCCUCUUCUACCGUUUUGUCCACGGCGACGAUGCCUUCCGGAACUCGCGGUUCAAGAUCGUGAAUCGGAUCGUGAAGGGCCCAUGGAUCGUGAGGGCCGCCGUCGGGAACCACGCCGCCUGCCUCCUGGGCAAGGCGCUCACUUGCAACUACCACCGCGGGGAGAACUACCUCGAGAUCGACGUCGACAUCGGGAGCUCCGCCAUCGCCAAUGCCAUCCUCCACCUCGCCCUCGGCUACGUGACGGCGGUCACCAUCGACAUGGGGUUCCUGGUGGAGGCUCAGGCGGAGGAGGAGCUGCCGGAGCGGCUCCUGGGAGCUGUCCGGGUGGCGCAGAUGGAGAUGAGCUCGGCCACCUAUGUGGAGACUAAACCCAAGGCUACGGAGGCCGGAAAGACAGGGUUUUGGGGACCGGCGAAGGUCAACCACCAUCACCAACACCACCCUGAUCGGUGCUCGGGUGCGAAGCCAUCAAGGUCGGGGGUGGGCAAGGACGGCGACGACGAAGAUAAUUUACCUCCAUAGUAAAGCUAUUCUUCCUUCACUCCAUGGCCCAUGUACAUGCCAAGCUUCUGAAAGUUUUUGAGUGAACAAAAGGUAACCAACAUGAAGUGAUCCAUGGCCAGCGUGAGAUUGAUGGAGUCAUCAACUAUCUUCUCCAUCCCUCUUCAACUUCAUUUGGCAGUAAAAUGGAGUCAUCUACAGACGGAGUUGUGAGUCAAUCAUACGUGUGAGAGAGAGAGAGAGAGAGAGAGAGACCCACUGGGUGUACGAGUGAAGGAGAGCGAGAACGAGUCAUGAAGUCAGUGCCUACCUGUAUCUGUGAGAGACAGACAAAGCGAGUGUGUGCGCGUGUGUUGCGGCUGUUUGUGAGAGACGGUGAGUGUAGUAUGCGUGUGUAUGAGAAAGAGAUAGAGAGAGAGAGAGAGUGUGUGUGUGUGUGUGUGUGGCUGUGUACGAGAGAGUAAAGUUGACCAUAGCAACAACAUUCAAGUUAAGCUGCAGCAAGCCGUGCAGAGGACUCAUGUGCUCACUGACCGUCCUUUCCCCCCUGCCGCCUCUCCGCUGACCUGUGGCAGACAUACAAGCAGCCCCAUUUACUCCCCCCACCUAUCUACUCCACAUAUAUCCUGUUCAUCUUUCGACCCAAUAAACAGAUACAUUUCUCCUUGCUUCUUCUCUUUUCUAUGACCUUUUACCUUCUUCUUCUUCUCUCUCUCUCUCUCUCUCUCUCUCUCUCUAUAUAUAUAUAUAUAUAUAUAUAUAUAUAUAUAAAGUCUCACUUGCAAUGACAUGUUAAGCGGUUAAGAGGCUUUACUCCCCCUCCGUAAACAACUCCUCCAUCUGAGACCUAAAGGUUUAAUCUGAAUAUAUAUUGAAAUGAUUGCAACAAGAGGAAAUAGAUAAAGCCUAAGUUUCAGAUCUUCAUAUAAAUCUGUCAGAAAUAAUAGAAGAGAGAGAGAGAGAGAGAGAGAGAGAGAGAGAGAGAGAGAGAGAGAACUGAAUGAACUCCCUGUAGUUAAUAAUAAUAAUAAUAAUAAGAAGAAGAAGAAGAAGGAAGAAGAAGAAGAAGAAGCAUGCAGAUGAGGAGUCUUCUGUGAGCUGUACACAUCACUCUUCGGCUGCUUCAUGCUUUCUUCACCUGUUGUGCAAAGGGUUUGGACCAGUCGGCACCAGCCGCUUGUCUUCGUCGACCAAGCUCCCGUUCUUCUUCGGCUGCGUGAAGGGGCGGCCGCAGAGAUUGACACCGUUCCUCUUCAACCUGCAUCCAUGGCGAUGAAUGGUGGCAGCAUCCACACUCAACUCCGUCGCUGAUGUCUUCUCUUUCGCUUUGUGACGAUGGUGGGUGUGCUUCCAGUUGAUCCUUCGAGCGCAACCGCGCGAAUCGGCGAAGAAUAGAAUCAAGCACGCCACCAGGGCUGCCCGAGCCCAUCUCUUCUUCAUGGCCACCGAAGUAGUACUACUCUCUCAAAGGAAGAUGGCAAUAACGGAGCUUCCUUGGAUCUACAGAUGCUUAUGAUCCAUCCACAUCUCCUCGAUCAUUGCCGUGCACCAACCCGCAUUAAUGGAUCAUCAGUUCUCUUGGACAAAAGAGAGCAUCUUUACCAAAGAAACCAACGUACACAGACCUGACCGCUUCACACGCUAGCUUAAGAUGGAACAAACGGCUAAUAACAGGCUUCUUUUCUGCUCUCUCUGGAUGAUGAUUCUGGGCAACAAUGGCUAGGAAGGUAAACCAAGAAGAACAAUGGAGAGGGAGAAGCAGAGGAAGGGGGAAGAGAUCUGACGAAAGCUAGAAGGAAGGGUGAAUCGUGGAGACUUCUCCCGUUAUACCCGUGGGGGUUGGCAGCUCAGUUCUUCGGCCUCUUCUACUUAAAUAGAGGGUACCGUCUGCAGAAGAAAACAACAACUCCACUUUGUACACUCGUCGUACUGUUUUGCACUCAGAUCUAAGCAGUAUACAGAGUGUUUCUA